GGCCGUGUAGCUCAAUGGCAGAGCGUCUGACUACGAAUCAGAAGGUCGCAGGUUCGACCCCUGUCUCGGUCA
rnacentral:tRNA from 5 species